UUUUCACCUCUUGUUUUUCACCCUGUGCCCCCUCUGUCCCCUGUUCCUAUGCUGGGUCCGAGCUGGGGCCGGGCCAGGUGGAGCAGCAGUUCCAGCCCCAGCUGUCCCUGGAGCGGUGGGAGCUGCCGGUGGCCCCAGGCACUGUCCCCUGAGGAGCUGCUGAGGGACGCUGCCCUGAAGACCUUGAGGCCAGCCAGGCACUGCCAGGAGCCAGCAGGGAGAAGCUGAAGGCCAGGAACAAGAGCAGUGAACAGGGAGCUGCUGCUGCCACCCGAGAGCCUGGAUGUCCCAUCUGCUGUGCCUGUCCAGGAGAGCUGCUGUGCACAGGAGCAAGAGACCGAGGGAGAGGCUUUGUAGAUGGGGGGGCUGAGUUCCCUCUGUUUAAAGAAGAAUGGACUUACGCAUAAAGAGGGAUAAUUAUGUGGAUAUUUAUAUAUGUAUGUAUGUAUAUUCCUAUUUGUAUAGGAAUAUUUCUAUAUAUAUGUUGUUCUGUUUAUGGAUGUAUUCUUUGUACAUAUGUAUGGAUAUAUACACAUACAUGUUUGUAAUUUCAUACGUGUAUGUAAGUAUACACAUAUGUUGUUAUAGUUGUGUCAAAUUCUAUCCCCUUAUACAUAGGAGAUACAGUUGUGUAUAUUUUGAUUGAUACAAUUACAGUUAUUUGGCUCUUUAAAUAGGUAUAUUGGUAUUUGCGUAGGUAGAUAUGUGUAUUUUUAUAUUUUUAUCUGUAUAUUGACAUUUCUAUGGAAUUCUAUUUAUAUACGUAUUCAGAUGUGUAGCUGUACAUUUCUAUUGACGCAGUUGUGUGGAUAUUUAACUUGAUAUUUUUGUAUUUAUAGAUAGGUCUGUUUUAUAUAUCUGUUUAUAUAUAUUGUAUGUAAUAUUAAAUCUAUAUGUACAUCUGUAGAUUGUUACAGUUAUACGCGUUUAUAUGAAUUUGUGUAUAGCUGUGUAUUUAGUUCCAUUUACACAUGUAUGGAGUGGUAGAGUUGUAUAAUUCUGUCAGCUGUGAUGAUCACUAUUUGUAUACUGUCAUUUAGAGAGGGAAAGUAUAUUUUUGUAUUUCUUUAUGGGCCGUAGGUUUAUAGUAAUACAUAAUAAAUUGUUAAACAGCUAAUUGAUUUUUAUGUAUAGUGAGUCGUUGUAGAGGCUGGAAAUAAAUUACGUUUUGUUAACAUAA